GAUGUGUAGCUCAGCGGGAGAGCACUUGCUUUGCAUGCAAGAGGCCCUGGGAUCAACCCCCAGCAGCAUCU